AUACGUAGGGGGCGAGCGUUGUCCGGAAUGAUUGGGCGUAAAGGGCGCGUGGGCGGCCCGGUAAGUCUGGAGUGAAAGUCCUGUUUUUAAGAUGGGAAUUGCUUUGGAUACUGUCGGGCUUGAGUGCAGGAGAGGUAAGUGGAAUUCCCAGUGUAGCGGUGAAAUGCGUAGAGAUUGGGAGGAACACCAGUGGCGAAGGCGACUUACUGGACUGUAACUGACGCUGAGGCGCGGAAGUGUGGGGAGCAAACAGGAUUAGAUACCCUGGUAGUCCACACUGUAAACGAUGAAUGCUAGGUGUAGGGGGUAUCGACUCCCUCUGUGCCGCAGUUAACACAAUAAGUAUUCCGCCUGGGGAGUACGGCCGCAAGGUUGAAACUCAAAUGAAUUGGCGGGG
rnacentral:rRNA from 1 species